rfam:Roseovarius pacificus strain DSM 29589 genome assembly, contig: Ga0131109_101
GCCCAAGUGGCGGAAUGGUAGACGCAGGGGAUUCAAAAUCCCCCGGUAGCAAUACCGUGAGAGUUCGAGUCUCUCCUUGGGCA